GUUGUAUAGUUAAGUGACUAAGCGUACAAGGUGGAUGCCUUGGCAAUCAGAGGCGAGGAAGGACGUGCUAAUCUGCGAAAAGCUUGGAUGAGUCGAUAAGAGGCGUUUAAUCCAAGAUGUCCGAAUG
rnacentral:rRNA from 1 species